UGAAUUAGUCCCUUAGCAAUAAUCUGCUAGGUGUUCUAGUCACUGACCUGCAUUCGUCCUCUAGUCCUAUUCUGGGGCCCUUAGUCUCUGUUAGGACUCAGUUGAAUCCUUCCCUCAUACCCAACAAAUUUGUAUGUUGGAGUCCUAACCCCCAGGACCUCAGAAUAUGGCUAUAUUUGGACACAGACCUUUAAUGAGAUAAUUGACUUACAUGAGGCCAUUAGAAUGGGCCUUAAUCCAGUAUGAACAGAGUCCUUAAGAGGAGAUUCGGACACAGAUGUGCACCAAGGGAAGACCCUGUGAAGAUACAGGGAGAAGACGGCGUCUGCAAGCCAAUGAGAGAGGCCUCAAAAGAAAUCAACCCCGCCAACAUCCUGAUCUCAGACCUCCAGCCUCCAAAACUACAGAAGAGAUGGAAGCAGAGGGAACACCCACAGCACAGGAUCAGUCAUCAGCAGUGCUCAGAACAAGGCCUCGGACUCUUCUCUCAAUUCAACUCUUCCAGCAACUCUCCUGUUUUCCCAUCUUGCUUGGAAGAGCGCAGACCAACGGGUAACACAGAUGAAAGCAAUGUUACCAUAAUACUCAGUAUUUAGAAUAAUACCUUUAUUCCAGGGUGCUCUGCAGACAUUACCUCAUUAAUCUUCAUAACAUCUUUAAGAAAGGAGGAGGGAAUAGUUUCUGCCCUCAUUUAAUGGAUGGCAUAGCAAUGGCUUAAGGCCAGGACAUGAUUCAGUGUCAUGGCUGAAACAAAGCCACAUUCCCCAAACCCUCAGGUCGGGGCACCAUCAGCCGCUUCAGGAGUAAGCGUAGCUCUUUGGGGUAGCCAACAGGGAAGGGAUACGACUCCAACACUGGCAGAUGUGGAAGGAGACCAGAUGAAUAAGAUGCUACUCACUGUUACCAAAAGCAUCAAAAGACACUACUCAUUUGUUAUUAUAACAAAUAUUUGUUGAGGACCUGCUAGGAGCACUUUGCUGUUGGAAGGAGCAAGAAAAGGAAAAUGGGGGAAAGCAUGGAAGAAUGACCCAUAAGUCAGACAGGAACACUCCACUCAGAAAGUUUACAUUCGUUCAUUCAUCAGUCAUUCAACAAGCGGAAGCCUCUCAGAUGCCAUUCAAGGUGUGGGGGAUACAAAUAGAUACCAGACCUUGCCUUCAAGAGGAUUAGUCUAUUAGGCUAACCAAAUUUUUAAAACUUGGAGCAUAGAGCAAUACAUGUUGAAGAAAAUUUAUGCUCAUAUUGUUACGGAAGUGCAAAAGAAGAACGUUCAAGUCAGCUUAAGUGAAUCAGGGAAGGUUUCUCAAGGUAUUCGUGGCCUGUGCUAAGACUUGCAAGAUGAGUGAAGUUUAAUUAGGGGAAGGGUAUGCUAAGUAGAGGGAUGAGCUCCCAAGGAAUUGCUGUGUGAAACUCCGAAGUCAUUUGUCUUAACUUGGGGAGGAGUCUCUGCUGGUGGAGGCCCGGGUUGCAGAUGGGAGGACGAGCCCCUAAGAAAAAGAAAACGGCAACGUCAGAGCACGAGGAGCUCAUGCAGCAAGUUCAGGAGUUUAGACUU
ensembl:lncRNA